rnacentral:rRNA from 1 species
CCUACGGGAGGCAGCAGUGAGGAAUAUUGGUCAAUGGACGAGAGUCUGAACCAGCCACGUCGCGUGAAGGAUGAAUGCCCUCUGGGUUGUAAACUUCUUUUAUAUGGGAAUAAAACAGGGUAUGCAUACCCUCUUGUAUGUACCAUAUGAGUAAGGAUCGGCUAACUCCGUGCCAGCAGCCGCGGUAAUACGGAGGAUCCGAGCGUUAUACGGAUUUAUUGGGUUUAAAGGGAGCGUAGGUGGAUUGUUAAGUCAGUUGUGAAAGCUUGCGGCUCAACCGUAAAAUUGCAGUUGAAACUGGCAGACUUGAGUACAGUAGAGGUGAGCGGAAUUCGUGGUGUAGCGGUGAAAUGCUUAGAUAUCACGAAGAACUCCGAUGGCGAAGGCAGCUAACUGGAAUGUAACUGACACUGAUGCUCGAAAGUGUGGGUAUCAAACAGGAUUAGAUACCCGUGUAGUC